UAGGGAAUAUUGCACAAUGAGCGAAAGCUUGAUGCAGCAACGCCGCGUGCGCGAUGACGGCCUUCGGGCUGUAAAGCGCUUUUCGGGGAGAUGAGGAAGGACAGUAUCCCCGGAAUAAGUCUCGGCUAACUACGUGCCAGCAGCCGCGGUAACACGUAGGAGGCAAGCGUUAUCCGAAUUUACUGGGCGUAAGGCGCGUGCAGGCGGUUCGGUAAGUUGGAUGUGAAAUCUCCCGGCUCAACUGGGAGGGGACGUUCAAUACUGUCGGACUUGAGGACGAUAGAGGGAGGUGGAAUUCCCGGUGUAGUGGUGAAAUGCGUAGAUAUCGGGAGGAACACCAGUGGCGAAAGCGGCCUCCUGGAUCGUUCCUGACGCUCAGACGCGAAAGCUAGGGGAGCGAACGG
rnacentral:rRNA from 1 species